rnacentral:rRNA from 1 species
GAUGAACGCUGGCGGCGUGCCUAAUACAUGCAAGUCGAGCGAACAGACGAGGAGCUUGCUCCUCUGACGUUAGCGGCGGACGGGUGAGUAACACGUGGAUAACCUACCUAUAAGACUGGGAUAACUUCGGGAAACCGGAGCUAAUACCGGAUAACAUGUUGAACCGCAUGGUUUAACAGUGAAAGACGGUCUUGCUGUCACUUAUAGAUGGAUCCGCGCCGCAUUAGCUAGUUGGUAAGGUAACGGCUUACCAAGGCAACGAUGCGUAGCCGACCUGAGAGGGUGAUCGGCCACACUGGAACUGAUACACGGUCCAGACUCCUACGGGAGGCAGCAGUAGGGAAUCUUCCGCAAUGGGCGAAAGCCUGACGGAGCAACGCCGCGUGAGUGAAGAAGGUCUUCGGAUCGUAAAACUCUGUUAUUAGGGAAGAACAAAUGUGUAAGUAACUAUGCACGUCUUGACGGUACCUAAUCAGAAAGCCACGGCUAACUACGUG